AAAUAACAAUUGGUCCAACAUCUAUCAAGCCUUCUCCUUGGCCUAUCAAGUCUUAUUAUUUUCCGAAACACAACGAAAGUAAUAAAAAUAAAAUAAGCUUUUCAACUGACUUCAGUUGUUACGUCUUCGUGGAACCCUUCUUCUGUUUUCUUGAUUAAGCCUUCUCCUUGGCCUUUUCCACUGUAACAUGCUAAAUAAUUUUUUAAGUUGCACACGUAUAAAGUUUUAAUUGGAUAAGCAUAAAACCUAGUGAAUUUGUGUUUUUCAUGCAUAUUGACGUCAAUAGGAAAAACAAUGCAACAACUUUAUCAAAUAUAAUUCUUUUUUCUUUUUCUUUCUUUCCACGACCUAAUGACACGUGAUAAGAAACUAAUAUAUCAUUUCUAGAGGAGUUUCAUGAAACCCGAUUCUCUCUCCUGGGCAUAGUAAAUAUGUUCACGGAUAAAUAAAUUGGAACAUAGGCUCUCUGCCACGUACUCACAUAUCGUACACCAGCUAAUCAUUCAAGACAAUAUAGUAAAUCACUACACUCCUUCCCUAAGCAUAUGACACCUUAAACUUCUAUAUUUCACCACUAGCAAUUCAUACAAUCAAUAUAAAAACUUUCUAGCAAUAGCAACAAAUGUAAUUGCAAAUAAUUUCAGUAAAUUUUUUUAUACAAACAACAAUAAAAUUCACAUGAAACUCACUUCAUUGAUAUUCACUUUUAACCAGAACUUGUCACACUACUCACAUCGAGUAGAAAGAUUUAUAGUUUUUUGCACCACCAUUGACGCCCGAACUCUACAUUGUUGAUGGUCCUUGACACUUGAUAUCCUCAAGCCAACGUUUGUCCAUUCUCUCCACAUCAUCAUCAUCAUCAUCAUCAUCAUCAUCAUCAUCAUCAUCAUCAUCAUCAUCAUCAUCAUCCCUCCUCCAGACAAUACCCCCUCUUGACAAUAAGGAG
rnacentral:lncRNA from 1 species